UUUCCUCUCGUUUUGUUUUGCCUUUGUAAUUUUUUUUUCUGAUUUGGGGACUAAAUGACAGCAGUUUACCUAGGUAUUUAGAUGUGCUGAUCUUAUGCUUGCUUAGCAGAAUUCAAGAUGCUUGUUCAAAAUGUGAUAUAUAGCUAAAAGGGAAAGAUGAAUUGUGUUUUGUCGUAGCAAAACUGAUGCUCUGUAGGUGGUAUAACAGUUCACCAUGUAUAUCUAGCAUCAGUCCAUAAAAAGACAUACAAAAACAAUUCAAAUAUGUGCGUUAAAAACACAGUUUGGUUUAAUAUAAUAUGUUAGCUUAAUACAUAGAAAAAAUUAUAGCAGACUAGUAGAGAAAAGAAAGGAUUUGCAUCAGUUCAAACUUGAAGGGUGGCGAGUUAAAAAAGAAAGAAAUAUUGAGCAAGAAAAAGAAUAUUGCCCCGCGGUAGACACAUCGGCACCUCGCUAGUCCAACUAGUUGCCCCGCUGCCGUUCACUCAAAGAUAGGCGCUCUGUAAAAAGGAGCUCUUGUUUUGCAAAUGAUGAUCUAUAAUAGGAGCUCUUAAUUCCUUCCAUCGGCAUUUAAAAUAACAUAUGGGGCUCCUGCUCCAGCUCCUGUAUCCCUGGUUCGCUGUCAACAUUGCACAUCUGCAGUUCGACGUGAUUUGGUUGGGUAGGAAGGGAGAAUCAGUAGGGACAGUACGGGGAUGGCCAACGAUAAACCUGCUGCUGACAUGCUCUAUAGAGAUUUUAUGCCAGCAAGGUGUUUGUGGAAAAAAAUUACCGCUGAAUUCUAUUUUGUGCUGAGCAUUUCUCUAAACAUAAAGUGUCUUCCCCCAAUUGUUCUGGUUGACCUUAUGCUUGCAGCCCAGUUGGACUUAUUCUGAUGCUCUGGUUGACCUUAUGCUUGCAGCUGAGUGUACUUAUUCUGAUACUCUGGUUGACCUUAUGCUUGCAGCUGAGUUGGACUUCCUCCUAUUCAAAUGCUUGCAACUUUCAAUUAUGUUUUGUUCUAAAGCUACUUGCUGUAAAGUAGUAUAUGUGCUAGGAUUUCAGUACAGCUUCCAAAUAAAAUGUGGUUCAAGUUCUCGAAUUGUUUAGAAGAAGAUAGGACAGGAAGUCUUGAAUGGAAAGCUCAUAUGAGUGUGAAUGGUUUGAGUAAAUUGGUAACUGGUGGAGAUCAUUCAUGUUGAUUACUUUAGAAAAGAAUGAUAGUCCACUAGAGAAUUUGUUGAAGAUUAGAUAGGAGUGAAAAAACAAAAGGUAUAUAAGUGAUGCUAAAAACUGAGAUGUCAAAUUUAACAUUCUAUUAUUUCUGUUCUUUUAUUUUCUUUUAGUUUUGGUAUCUGAAUUUGUGGAUAUAUGAGCAGGCCCCAAUAUUUAUUUCUUCAGUUCUCUUCCGCCGUCAGGUCGCAGCCUCUUCCUUCUGCAGGUCACCACCUCCUGCUUCUGCAGGCCGUGCCACAUCCCCCCAUUCCCACAGUCACCGCCGGCACCACAGUCCGUUCACUACCAACAACCGAGGCUGUUCAACGACGCAACGACGAGCUAAGGUGUUGUACUAUUCUAUUAUGUACAUCCGGGCAUGAUGCAUGGAACAAAAUAUUAUGAGAUCCUUGGUUUACAUACAGGGAAAAAAAGUUGUUGGGUUUUUGGUGGCCAAUUAUUAUUGAUAUGGAGAUGAAUAACUAUGCAGAUGCGCUCCUGCUGUUUUUCUAGAAAAAAAGAUGCCUUUGCAUACUUCAAAGUUGAUGCUUGCUCCCACCAGUGAGUUGCGCAAGUUUAGUGGGUGUCAUCGAGCAUGUUCAGAAGUAUGCCCUUUGUGCAAAAUUGUGAUUUUUUUGUCAGUAUUUUGUAUAUUUCAUUUGGGAGAGGUUUCAUGUGAUGUUGUGGAGCUUUAUAGAUGUACUGUCAUUAAACUUUUAAGGCCCUACAGUUCAUUAUAUCAUACAUGUGUGGCCAUUCAGUAUGUAUUACAGUAUCAGUUAUUGGAAAAGAACAUUAUUGCAUAGUUCGGUCAGAAACAAUGAUCA